UUAACGGAACAUAUUUUUGUUGGAAAAUAACAGUUGUUCCAUUUAGUGAUGUUAAAAUUUAGACAAAUUUAAAAAAUGUAUGCUUCGAUUUGAUUAAUUGUAGUCAGCUGAAGUUUAGUCGGAACUUCGCAGGAAAAAAUAAAGGAUGUAUCCGAAAGAGCUGAAGAAGAAAGUGAACAACAUCACGAAGAAGUACCCGAGGAACUUCUUCAGGAGUGUGUUCCUGUUCUUGUUUGCGAUCAGGCUGUCCCGGGAAUUAACGGGGAUAACAGUCUUCCCAGAAAAAGCAUGCUAGUUUUUACACCAAAUUUUCAUUGACUCACCCCUGGUUGAAGAUGGUAACCACUCAGUUCCAUGUCUGUUUCAAGGAUGCGCGCCACACAUGGCGCUGUGGGGAGUAUUCUAAAUAAAAAUAUUAAUAAAUUUGGAUUGAAUUUUGAUUAAAUU